rnacentral:rRNA from 1 species
AUUGAACGCUGGCGGCAUGCCUUACACAUGCAAGUCGAACGGCAGCAUGGAAGAGCUUGCUCUUCUGAUGGCGAGUGGCGAACGGGUGAGUAAAGCAUCGGAACGUACCGUGUAGUGGGGGAUAACGUAGCGAAAGUUACGCUAAUACCGCAUACGCACUGAGGUGGAAAGCAGGGGAUCGCAAGACCUUGCGCUAUACGAGCGGCCGAUGUCAGAUUAGCUAGUUGGUAGGGUAAAGGCCUACCAAGGCGACGAGCUGUAGCGGGUCUGAGAGGAUUGUCCGCCACACUGGGACUGAGACACGGCCCAGACUCCUACGGGAGGCAGCAGUGGGGAAUUUUGGACAAUGGGGGAAACCCUGAUCCAGCCAUGCCGCGUGAGUGAAGAAGGCCUUCGGGUUGUAAAGCUCUUUCGGCUGGGAAGAAAUCGCACAGGCUAAUACUCUGUGUGGAUGACGGUACCAGCGUAAGAAGCACCGGCUAACUACGUGCCAGCCGCCGCCGUAA